GACGAACGCUGGCGGCGUGCUUAACACAUGCAAGUCGAACGGUGAAGCGCCUUCCUUUUUGGUGGGUGUGGAUGAGUGGCGAACGGGUGAGUAACACGUGAGUAACCUGCCCCCUUCUUCUGGAUAACCGCAUGAAAGUGUGGCUAAUACGGGAUAUUCUGGGUCUGUCGCAUGAUGGGUCUGGGAAAGAUAUUGUUUCGGUGGGGGAUGGGCUCGCGGCCUAUCAGCUUGUUGGUGGGGUGAUGGCCUACCAAGGCGGUGACGGGUAGCCGGCCUGAGAGGGUGGACGGCCACAGAGGGGCUGCGACACGGCCAAGACUCCGAGGGGAGGCAGCAGGGGGGAAUAGUGAACAGUGGGCGAAAGGCUGAAGCAGCGACGCGGCGGGGGUGAUGGUGGCCUGCGGGUUAUGAACCUCUUUUGGGAGUGAAGCAGGCCUGCCUCGUAUGUGGGUGGGUUGACGGUAGCUGGAUAAGAAGCGCCGGCUAACUACGUG
rnacentral:rRNA from 1 species